rnacentral:rRNA from 1 species
UACGUAGGGAGCAAGCGUUGUCCGGAAUCAUUGGGCGUAAAGCGCGCGUAGGUGGCUUCGUAAGUCCGUUGUGAAAGUCAAAGGCUCAACCUUUGAAAGCCGAUGGAUACUGCGGAGCUAGAGUACGGAAGAGGCGAGUGGAAUUCCUGGUGUAGCGGUGGAAUGCGCAGAUAUCAGGAGGAACACCAAUAGCGAAGGCAGCUCGCUGGGACGUUACUGACGCUGGGGAGCGAAAGCGUGGGGAGCAAACAGG